GCCCCGCGGGGCAUGCCGGGAGAAGCCGCUCACCGCCCCCGGGCCCACCGCCAUCUUCGGGGGUGGUGCAGUGCGGGGUCAACUGGGGGUGUGGGUGUAGUGCCAGCGAAGUCUUGCGUGUAUUAAGCCUCCCUUGCAUUUCACGUCAAGGCAAGCCUCCCACAUCUGAGAAGCAGAGUAUAUGCCCUAGAGUGCAGCUGCAUGAUGAUACACUCCCUGGAUGUACAGUUAUCACAAAAGGAAUUACGAGAGAAACAAUGACUUAGAUGAGCACAGUAGAAAAUGCAAGCAGGUGAUGCAUGCCAGAUAUAUUUUAC
rnacentral:lncRNA from 1 species